GAUGAAGAACGUAGCGAAAUGCGAUAAGUAAUGUGAAUUGCAGAAUUCAGUGAAUCAUCGAAUCUUUGAACGCACAUUGCGCCCGCCAGUAUUCUGGCGGGCAUGCCUGUUCGAGCGUCAUUUCAACCAUCAAGCCCCCGGCUUGUGUUGGGGACCUGCGGCUGCCGCAGGCCCUGAAAUGCAGUGGCGGGCUCGCUGUCACUCCGAGCGUAGUAGUUACAUCUCGCUCUGGGCGUGCUGCGGGUUCCGACCGUUAAAAGCCUUAUUUACCCAAGGUUGACCUCGGAUCAGGUAGGAAGACCCGCUGAACUUAAGCAUAUCAAUAAGCGGAGGA
rnacentral:misc_RNA from 1 species